rnacentral:lncRNA from 1 species
GGCAGAUGUUUAAUCCCUGCAGGAGCCCCUGUCAACAUUGUUUUCUUUUGUAAGGAUGGGAUGGAAAUUUCAAGGCUGGAAGCCAGGAGAGGAAAAUUCUCUUAUGAUUUAGCUUACAGAGUGGCUGGCAGCUCAGGCAAUAUUUCCUGUGGAUACAUGUACAGAAAGGACAAUAACCAGGUGUUAAAUUCUCUGCUGAGCAUCGCUCGGUACCUGAAGGUCACAGGUGCCAAUUCCAGGAGCAGCACGACCAAGAAUCCGCCUUAUCAAGUCUCCAGGUGCUUCCCCUCUUUGGACGAAAUAGCCUGGGGUCAUUGGCCCUCAAGGCAGGUACCAUGA